UAAUACUCCAUAGAUUAGAGACACUGGAAUGUUCUUUAGUCGAAAGUUCUGGCGCCUUAGGAUGGAUCUGCGGUCGAUUAGGUUGUUGUUGGGGUAACGGCCCAACAAGCCUGUAAUCGAUACGGGUUGUGGGAGCAAGAGCCCGGAGAUGGAAUCUGAGACACGAUUCCAGGCCCUACGGGGCGCAGCAGGCGCGAAAACUUUACAAUGCAGGAAACUGUGAUAAGGGAACUCCGAGUGCCCGUAUACGCGGGCUGUCCAGGUGUUUAAAAAUCAUCUGAAGAAAGGGCCGGGCAAGACCGGUGCCAGCCGCCGCGGUAAUACCGGCGGCUCGAGUGGUGGCCACUAUUAUUGGGCUUAAAGCGUCCGUAGCUGGACCGAUAAGUCUCUUGGGAGAUCCGCCGGCUCAACCGGCGGGCGUCUAAGGGAUACUGUUAGUCUAGGGACCGGGAGAGGUGAGAGGUACUCCGGGGGUAGGAGUGAAAUCCUGUAAUCCCCGGGGGACCACCGAUGGCGAAGGCAUCUCACCAGAACGGCUCCGACAGUGAGGGACGAAAGCUGGGGGAGCGAACCGGAUUAGACUACCGGGUAGUCCCAGCCGUAAACUAUGCGCGUUAGGUGU
rnacentral:rRNA from 1 species